rfam:Asian citrus Psyllid, Diaphorina citri - Florida Strain, whole genome shotgun sequence.
GCUCCCAUGGCGUAGUGGUCACUGCACUCGCCUUGCACGCGGGAGACCCGGGUUCGAUUCCUGGCGGGGUCA